ensembl:snRNA U4 U4 spliceosomal RNA
AGCUUUACACAGUGGCAGUAUCGUAGCCAAUGAGGUUUAUCCGAGGUGCAAUUAUUGCUAAUUGAAAACUACAUAGUAAUAAAA